rnacentral:rRNA from 1 species
GACGAACCGUGCGAACGUUGUUCGGAAUCACUGGGCUUAAAGGGCGCGUAGGCGGUCGAUCAAGUCCGGGGUGAAAUCCUGCAGCUUAACUGUAGAAGUGCCUUGGAUACCGAUCGGCUCGAGGGAGGUAGGGGUCUGUGGAACUUCUGGUGGAGCGGUGAAAUGCGUUGAUAUCAGAAGGAACGCCGGUGGCGAAAGCGGCAGACUGGACCUCUUCUAACGCUGAGGCGCGAAAGCGUGGGGAGCGAACAGG